CCUACGGGAGGCAGCAGUAGGGAAUAUUGCUCAAUGGGGGAAACCCUGAAGCAGCAACGCCGCGUGGAGGAAGAAGGUUUUCGGAUUGUAAACUCCUUUUGUUAGAGAAGAUAAUGACGGUAUCUAACGAAUAAGCACCGGCUAACUCCGUGCCAGCAGCCGCGGUAAUACGGAGGGUGCAAGCGUUACUCGGAAUCACUGGGCGUAAAGAGCGCGUAGGCGGGAUAGCAAGUCAGAUGUGAAAUCCUAUGGCUUAACCAUAGAACUGCAUUUGAAACUGUUAUUCUAGAGUAUGGGAGAGGUAGGUGGAAUUCUUGGUGUAGGGGUAAAAUGCGUAGAGAUCAAGAGGAAUACUGAUUGCGAAGGCGACCUGCUAGAACAUAACUGACGCUGAUGCGCGAAAGCGUGGGGAGCAAACAGGAUUAGAUACCCUAGUAGUC
rnacentral:rRNA from 1 species